UUAGGGUUGUGCUUUUUUGGGCCAGGCCCAUGCCAGCCCGUCGGGCUCGGCCCAGUUGGCCAACUAUAAUCUCCGACGACCACACCGACACCAUCUCCUAGCGGGGCUCCACCGCUCGCGCCGCCUGGGUUGCCAUCGAAUCUCAAUUCCUAGGCAACCGCGAGACUCGGGCCCUCUACCUCGACGCCCAGUUUUGCGGCCUCACCCAGGGUGAUCUCUCCAUCACCGACUACUGCAGGCGUCUCAAGCGGAUGGCGGAUGACCUCGGGGACCUCGGUGAGACAGUCACCGAUCGCACGCUCGUCCUCAACCUCAUCCGGGGCCUCAACGAGCGGUACGGAAACAUCGGUCUGCACCUUCGCCGCAGCCACCCGUUCCCCUCAUUCCUCGAGGCCAAGGAUGCCCUUCUCCUGGAGGAGCUCACCCUGAAGCACCAGUCCUCCACCCCCACGGCCUUCGUCGCCUCCUACCCUACCGCCCCUGUCCAGGCGCAGACAGGGGGCAACAACGGGGGUAGUGGGGGCUCCGGGGGCGCCUCGGCCAAGGCGCCCAAGAACCGCCGCGGCAAGUGCGGCGGCAAGAAGGACGGCUCCACCAGCGAUCAAGGCGGCGCUACGGGCUCUUCCGGCGGCAAGGGCGGCUAGCCCUGGCCGUCCUUAUGGAACCCCUGGAGCGGGUCCAUCCAGAUGUGCCCCGGCUCUAGGCCUCCUUUCCCGCCACUUCCCCAGCCGCGCCUGCCCCAGCAGCACCUCCAGCAGCAGCAGGCGCUGCUCACCUCUCCGCCACAACAGCAGCCUGCCAUUCCGUCGUCCGCUGCCUCCACCAUCAUAGCCGGACAGUGGGCGCCUCCGCCGGGGUUCUACAACCCCCUCGCUGGUCUCCCAUCAUGGGACCAGCAAUCGCUCGCGUCCGCCUUCAGCACCGCCACGCUAAAUCAGCCACAGAACAAUAACUGAUAUUUCGACACAGGUGCAUCCUCUCACAUGACUUCCUGUUCAUCUGCACUGUCUCGUUUUGUACCACCCCAGGGUCUCACACCUUCCUCCAUUGUUGUCGGUAAUGGCUCCCUUUUACCUGUCACGGGCACUGGUACUCGGAUGCUGACUGGGCUGGUUGUCCCGACACGCGCAAGUCCACCUCGGGCUAUGCUGUGUUUUUCGGGGAUAACCUCGUCUCCUGGUCCUCCAAGCGCUAGAAUACUGUCUCCAGAUCAAGCGCUGAAGCGGAGUAUCGGGCUGUGGCUAAUGCUGUUGCCGAGGUGUCAUGGCUGCGCCAGCUUCUUCAUGAGCUUCAUGUGCCGCUUCGACGAUCUGUCCUUGUCUACUGUGACAACAUCAGCACUGUCUACAUGUCUUCCAACCCAGUUCAACAUCAGCACACCAAGCACAUAGAGAUCGACCUCCACUUCGUCCGGGAAAAGGUAGCUCUCGGUGAUGUGCGUGUUUUGCAUGUGCCCACCACAUCACAAUACGCCGACAUCUUCACCAAAGGGCUUCCUUCUUCGAUCUUCAGUGAGUUCGGGUCUAGUCUAAACGUUCGCGGUGCUGCCAAUCCGACUGCGGAGGCGUGUUAGAAGAUUAUAGUUGCCCCUUCAUGGGCUGUGCUUGGGCUGGCCCUCUGGGCCUUGGGCGCCAGGCCGCACCAGCCUCCUUGGCUGCUGUGCCGGCCCUAGGUAUUAUGGUAGGAUUGAUGGUUAUGGCAAGGAUCCCUUAGAUUGGUUCUGUUUCUAUAAACCCUAGGGCUCCUUGCCGAUAUAUGUGUAUCCCAUGUAUACCCUUUCAUCAAUCAAUCCAUUGUUCCUGGCCAUAUCUUUUUUCAAUUUUUCUCGCUAGAACGAAAGCUUGCGAGCUAGGCAUUUACUACUCAAACCCAUCGAUCUUUUCGAUGACACUGACAUAUCAUCAGUUUUCUUUUCUUUACCUGGUCAAUAUUGAAUGGGAGCAUGAACUUGCAUGUUUCUUCUGGACAAGACGAGGUGACGCAACUGAUGAACCAUGCUAAUUUAAUCAAUCAUCAUGCUUCCAUUUCUCUUCAGCUGUUCAUGCAUGCUCCAUAGUGCUACUAGCUUGUCCAUGCAAAAUGCUUAGAUUCUGUUCCAUGCAUGGAAAACAUUCAAUUUGUUGUUAUCACCACCUCUGUUAUUAUUGGAUUAGUUUGGUGGUUUUCAGCUGCGCUACAACUGAAAUUCUGUUCACAAUUGAUGUCAAUCGAGUUUAAUAUGCAUAUCAAUGUCUUUUAUGCAUUUGUGUGUAUAAGUUUUGAGAGAUACAGUAGUGUGCAUUUUUCUACGGUAUUUUUUUCCCGCCAUUUGAAUUGCUGCAGUAGCAUUCAUUUGAAUGCUGCAGCACUUGCAGCUGGCUGGCUCCAGCUGCUAGAGGGCUGUAGAAUGGUUUUCGUUUUUUUAAACAAUGGAUUCUGGUUAUUGGCUACCCCACUACAAAUUAACAGUGACUGCUACAUAAACUGUUAAAGAAUGUGCAUUAACACUGCUGGUAGGAGGCAGCUAGGGGUGGGAUGCGUUCUAAAACAAUUAAGUGCUCUACCAGUGACAGGUACUGAUGUGCCAUACAGUGAUAUGGCUACCAGUCGGACUCGUACAGAAAUACACUAGUGGAGCAAACACCUCUAGAUCCACAUCCAGGAUUUCAGGACCCAAUGGCUCAACCACAAGUCCACAACCACACCUACCCUGCCCAUAUCUUCUUUGAUAUCCCUUUCCCUGCUCUAUCCUCAAAUCUUGUUCUUUCCUGACAAAAAAAUGCUGAAUCCUUUGUUCUGAACACUGGCUCAAGGAUUCCAUCGGUUGGCCUUAGCACAUGGCAAGGCAACCUGGAGUUGUCAGCGAUGCCAUCUAUGCUGCUGUUAUGGCUUUUCUGGUUGCUAUGGUUCUCUCUGAAUUCCCUAUAUAGAGAAAGUUUCUCCAUAUUGUUUAUCGUGCUUUUUCAGAGCUUCCUUGCGUUGUAUGUAGUGAUCCAAAUCUUUUUGUUUUAUCUUGGGAUUAUAUAAUUUUUAGGACGGACCCUAUGAGUUGUUUUAGGCUUUUGGCACAGGAGGACAAGGCUGAAGUUUAUUGUUCUUAAACUUAUUACCUGUCAUCCGAUAGCUUCUCUCCUAUUUGCUCUUUUAAUCAAGUUUUUGCUGGUUUCCUGAUGCAGGCAAUUGGCAAAUUGGUGGUUUCCUGAUGCAGGCAAGAUAUUGGCAUUUUGAUUCUGCUGUAGCACACCUCAGCCAAAUGGAGUUUGGAUUGGCUCUGAAGAAAUUAUUUGAGGAUGUGCUUGUUAAGCAUGAAGAUUUGUUUAUCACUCUAAGCUAUGGCCUAGUAAUCAGGCACCUGAAGAUGUGCAGGAGGAUAUUGGCAUGGCCCUUGAAGAUUUGCAGUUUGACUACUUAGAUUUGUACCUUGUAGAUUUCUAUGCUUGAUAGUCUGCCGGAUAAUAGUUUGCCUUACUGGCUAUCUGCUCAGCUGUACAUGUGCCUAAUUUAUCACUGGAAGCUUAAGCUAUGGCCAAGAUCCAUGGUCCAAUAUGUACAAUGAAGGACCUGUAUUUAGCCUGGAAAACCUUAUCCCUACUAGGCUGCUACAUGGGGCUUGAUGGAGAAGUUAUAUGACUCCGGCAAAGCUUGUGUGAUCGAAGUGAGCAACUUUUCAUGUAAGAAGGUAGAGGAUUUGCUUGCCGUGGCAAUGUGGCAUGUGUGCCUCCAGCAGUCAACCAAGUUGAGUGCCGUCCAGUUUCGCAGCAAGACAAGCUCCAUAAGCUAUGCCAGUCAAUGGGCAUUCAUCUUUCUGUAAGCUUGGGGAAUGUGCCUUUAAGUUCACUGGGUACAGUGGCCCAAGCGUGAUGAGCAGCCCCAUUGCCAUCUUUGUUGCAGAGAGCUUGCAGAAAAUGCCUGCCCAGAUCGCUCUUACAGGGGGAUUCAAGUGAGGCAGAGUGUACUUCCCAAGAGCACCAAUUGAAACAAGGAUCAAGGAGAAACUUCAUCAUAUCUGAUUGGUCUACUCUAUCCUGAAGAUUUGAGGAUGAAGUUCUUUAGAAUCAAUCAGGCAUGUCAGCGUGUCACGCCGGUGGCCUCCGGCGAUCGCCGAGAUAGACAAAAUAGAACAGGGAUAGUGAUGGGGAAGGAGGUCUCCUUCACUGAGUUCAGAUCCGAAUUGUUCAUAGAUGUCUUCUCCAUUACAGCAAGCCGGCUUAUACCGCUCGGCAACACCCACUGCCCGACCGGGCCCACACUCACGCACAGCACCCACGCACCAUCACGGCACAAGUCGAACACGCCUUUCCUACUAACACGUCUUCACGGUUUGGCAGCAAAACAAGCUCCACGAGCUUGCCACUCGAACGCAAUCCAUCUUGUCUGUAAGUCCUACUAGGUACCACCUUAUUCAGAUCCUAUUCCGAAUCUGCUUGACAGUUUCUUUUAGUUUGUGAGUUGUGACGCACCCGAUCCUACAAGCUUUUACAGGUCUCUAGAGGAUUACUGGGACGGUGUAAUCUGAUCCGGCCAGUGCCAUUCUCGUGUCCUUCAAGAGUUCAAGUGCUCGAUCGUACCAAUGUUUUCAACUUUCCAAGCGCAAAAAGACCAUCUUUGUUGGAUUGAAAUAUACAAGUACACGGGCGUCGAGUGUCGACGGAGAGUUGCUUUGGAGGAGCUCAGGCCGGGCGG